rnacentral:rRNA from 1 species
GACGAACGCUGGCGGCGUGCCUAACACAUGCAAGUCGAACGGUAAGGCCCUUCGGGGUACACGAGUGGCGAACGGGUGAGUAACACGUGGGUGAUCUGCCCUGCACUUCGGGAUAAGCCUGGGAAACUGGGUCUAAUACCGGAUAGGACCACUGCCUGCCUUGGCGGUGGUGGAAAGCUUUUGCGGUGUGGGAUGGGCCCGCGGGCUAUCAGCUUGUUGGUGGGGUGAUGGCCUACCAAGGCGACGACGGGUAGCCGGCCUGAGAGGGUGACCGGGCACACUGGGACUGGGACACGGCCCGGACGGAUACUGGAGGCAGGAGUGGGAGAUAGUGCUCGACGGGCGGAAGCCUGAUGCAGCGCCGCCGGGUGGGGGAGGACGGCCUGCGGGUUGUAAACCUCUGUCGGCACCGACGAAGCGCAAGUGACGGUAGGUGCAGAAGAAGGACCGGCUAACUACGUGCCAGCAGCCGCCGUAA